rnacentral:rRNA from 1 species
CACUAACGCUGGCGGCAUGCCUAACACAUGCAAGUCGAACGAGACCUUCGGGUCUAGUGGCGCACGGGUGCGUAACGCGUGGGAACCUGCCCUUAGGUUCGGAAUAACUCCCCGAAAGGGGUGCUAAUACCGGAUAAUGUCUUCGGACCAAAGAUUUAUCGCCUUUGGAUGGGCCCGCGUUGGAUUAGCUAGUUGGUAGGGUAAAAGCCUACCAAGGCGACGAUCCAUAGCUGGUCUGAGAGGAUGAUCAGCCACACUGGGACUGAGACACGGCCCAGACUCCUACGGGAGGCAGCAGUGGGGAAUAUUGGACAAUGGGCGAAAGCCUGAUCCAGCAAUGCCGCGUGAGUGAUGAAGGCCUUAGGGUUGUAAAGCUCUUUUACCCGGGAUGAUAAUGACAGUACCGGGAGAAUAAGCGCCGGCUAACUCCGUG